rnacentral:snRNA from 21 species
AUACUUACCUGAUUACUCCGUCUCCAGCUCAAGAAUUGGAAAUGGACGGUCUCGUCGACCAUUGCAUUGCACAGCGCUUUGGUUGGGGACUGCGACGCGUCUUCGGGCGUGCUCGGUGAUUUAGUUUUUGGUGGUCGGCCUUUCGGGGCCUU